rnacentral:lncRNA from 1 species
CCUUGCCUUGGGACCUUGAGUUCCCUCUGAACUUGGAUAUUUGAGGGCGUGCCCUUCUACACUACACUAUAAUUGGAUUCUGCAAUAUAUUUGGGUUGUAACUACUGCCCAGAGUCCCCUUUAUGGCUCUUAGGAACUUUGAUACACCCUAAAAGAGAGAAAGGCUUUGGAAAAUCCUGAUCUUCGAAGUUGGUUGAUCUCAUAUUUUGGGCCCUUAGUCCGAAUUAGGCUCCUUGCUUGUAGUUCGAUUUCUGAUGUAAUUUUUUUUAAACUUUGGUCUGUAAUAAGUUAUAAUAACUCAUAGGGUAUAUAGUGAAAAGGGGAAGGGUUACUCAUAUAUGCAUGUUGGUAGACAUCAUGUUCUUAGGCAUUUAUUCCUACAAAUCUCAUUCUUCUUAUAAGUUGUUUCAUUACUGCAUUAGAAAUCUUGCCUAUAAGGUAUGCAUUUCAUCUAGAAAUAAUGCCUAUAAGUUGUUUCAUUACCGCAUUAGAAAUCUUGCCUAUAAGUUAUGCAUUUCAUAUAGAAAUCCUG